rnacentral:lncRNA from 1 species
CUGGAUUGGGUCUCCUGACAUCAUGAGGUUCCGGUUCUGUGGCGAUCUGGACUGUCCCGAUUGGGUCCUAGCAGAGAUCAGCACACUGGCCAAAAUUGUUAAGUGCCCUGGUUCACUUAGGGUUGGGAGGAGAGCGGCCUGAGGGUGGAAGGAGGAGAUUGGGACUGGGAGCUGGGGGGGCUGCGGUGGUGAAAGGAUCUCCCUGAGGAUGGCAUCUCCAUGCUCUGUGGCCUUGUCACGUGGCUGGCCCUCCUUCAGCCAGUCCCCCAGCAAUGAGGGGUAAGGUAGGUUAGUCUUGCUGAAACCGGGACGUCCUUUUCAGUCCUCUGUGAAGCUGCGGCUACUGUGUAGCCAGGUGCUAAAGGAGCUUCUGGGACAGGGGAUUGACGUGAGUACAGGACCCAACAUCGCACUGUCCGAUAACCUUAUGAGGCCCGGAACACUCUGUUCUUCAGCCUCCCCCCUUGGGUAUCCCCUUCUUUCUCUAGCCCCAGCCCAUUCUCACCACAGGAUGUGGGCCGGGGGCAAGGGGCUGGUGACAGGGCUCUGGUACCCCCAUAGGAUCUCCUUUCCCCAUAGUAUGAGAAGAUCCUGAAGCUUACUGCUGAUGCCAAGUUCGAGUCUGGAGAUGUGAAGGCCACGGUUGCAGUGCUGAGUUUCAUCCUCUCCAGCGCCGCCAAGCAUAGCGUGGACAGUGAUUCCUUGUCCAGUGAGCUGCAGCAGCUGGGGCUGCCCAAAGAGCAUGCCACCAGCCUGUGCCGCUGUUAUGAAGAGAAGCAGAGCCCCCUACAGGAGCACCUUCGGGCCUGUAGCCUACGUGUGAACAGGCUGGCCAGCGUGGGCUGGCGGGUAGACUACACCCUGAGCUCCAGCCUGCUACAUUCUGUGGAGGAGCCCAUGGUACACCUGCAGCUACAGCUUGUGCCUGCUCCAGGUUCCCUGGCCCAACACGUUUCCAUGUCCCUCUCAGCAGACAAGUUCCAAGUUCUCCUGGCAGAACUGAAGCAAGCCCAGACCCUGAUGACUGCUUUGGGCUGAGAAGGGUGUUCCUAGCCUCUGUGGAGCCGCCCUGCCUGCACUGAGUGGCUCCCCUCCACACUCCUCUUGCAAGGGUGGCCCUUGGCCUCUUGAGUCCUGGGUGGGGCUACUGGGGAUCGUCCCCAGAAUUGCCUUCUUUCUUUUGAAAGAAAGUACUUGUCAACCAUUGUUAUGGGCAAUAAGAAUAAACAAGUGUACAGCACUGUG